CCCGCUCCGCCCGCGCGCCAUGGGCAGCGGCAGCAGCCGGAGCGGCCGCGCCCUGCGGCGUCUGCGCAGCCCCGACAGCCGGCCGGCGGGGCCCGACGGGGCAGCCCCGGAGGGCGGGACUGGGCUGCCGGUCUCGGCGCCGGCUGCGGCGGCGGCCGGGGAGGAGGCCCCGGAGGCGGUGACCGGCACCGAUCCCGGCCCCGCGGCGCCCCCCGACGGCGGGGACGAGACCCUGCGCCUGCUGGACCAGCUGCUGGCCGAGUCGGCGGGCUGGGGCCCCGGGGAGCUGGCCUCGCGGGGCCCGGCGAGGCCCAGACCCGCAGCCGGCGCCGGGAGCCCGGUGUCCCCAAAGCGGAGCACUGAAGACCACCCAGAGGGCAGCUGUAACUCUGAAGCCCCAGGCAACUGCCACAAGAAGCCCGAGAGGCAGUCGGCCAUCACAUAUGACUACUCCGAGGAGGAGCUGAUGGCCAGCAUUGAGCGGGAGUACUGCUGCUGAGGACAGUGCGGCAGCAGCCCCAGCGUCACCCAGCAACCAACCGACGUGCCAUUCCUCCCAGACCCGGCCCCAGCAGACCGGAACUGGGCUGGAGGGGCGCACGUUCCAAGAUCUUUCACAACUGGCCUCUUCAAAUCCACAUUCAGACAGUUCUGAACGUGGCUGACUGCUGGCCAUCGUGCUUGCUGGCAAGAGAUGGUCAGCCAUGCAGACCCAGGCAGAAGGAAGGUGUGGGUGCCGGAGACAGCCGUCUACAAGGGUCUACUGGAUCCUGAAACACUUCCCCUUUCUGAUGCCCCCUCGCCACCUGAUCCGGAGGAGGCUCAUUAGCUGAGAGUGGCUCAGAGCCGCGGCUUUGGGGCCUCACACGCGUCCCACAGUGCCCCGGGGAGGUCUCCCACUGGAGGGCACAUCCAGGAGGUAUGCCUUACCGAGCUAGAGGGAGUCACCCUCAGGUCUGCGAAUGAGUCUCCUGGAGAUGUUGCAGAUUCUGAUUCCAUGGAUCUGGGGCAUGGCCUGUGAGUCUGCAGGUCUCAGCAGUUCCCAGGCAAGACCCAGGCUGCUGGGUCCCAGCCGCGCCCAGAGCGGCGGGGAUGAGCCCGAGCCUUCGGCCUGGCUGGAUCUUCCUUCCCUGGUGCUGGAGGCCUCUCGGAGCCACAGCCCACCCCCCUCCCCAGAGAGAGGCCUGUGCUCCUGCAGUGUGUGUGUGUAUAGGUGGGGGACCAGAGCCAGAGUCCCCAGUUCUGAUCCUUGCCCUCGAACUAACCUGCAGUCACUUCCCCACUCUGGGCCUUGGUGCCCCUCUCUAGAAAGUGAGUCCCAGAGGUGUGCCCCCCACCCCCCUGCUCUGACCAUCUGGGAUUACAUAAUCCCAGGCGUCCUUGGUCUCUGUGGUCCCCCAGGGGCACGGGACUGCCUCCCCUGCUGGGAUUGAGCCCUGGUCCCACCUGCUCAGGGCUGCCUGCUCUUCCCACCCAGUAGAAGGAAGAAAAUCACAGUGGUGAGGCCAGAAGAGCCUUAGAACAUCCCCAGCAGACAAAUGAGGAAGCCAACGCCUUGUGAACCAGGAGGACCCCGGGGGGAGACCCGCAACCUGACCGGAAGGGAGACCCCUGCUGUGGGCCCAGCAUGGCUGCUGUUGGAAAGCUCAGGGUGGCAGGCGGUCAAGAGCCUAGGAGGCAGGAGACCGGGAGGUGGGCCCUCCAGAGCAGCUGGCCAGGACAUGGGUAAAAAAGGGCAUGUAGAGGGCACCUAUUAGCCUCCCGAAGCCAGAACUGGUCCACCCACAUACAGGUGAUUCCUCCACGGUGUCACCUGCAAGAGCAUCUUGGGGCUCGAGGAACGGCCACCUGGCACCGUGCCCAGGCCACAGGCCUGCUGCCCAAAUGGGCAAACAGGCAUUUCCACAAACCUCUGUGACUUGGCAAGGGUGUCUUUGAUCAGAUGUUUCAUGGCAGGGAGAUUUUAAACUUCGAGGCUUCGAUGGAACCAUGGAGCCUUCCAGCAAAUGUCCUGGAGGGUUGGCUCAGAACCUCCCCCAAACCAGAGCUAUUUCUCAUCCAAGCCCAAACCAUUUGUUUUGAUAUGAUAUGAUAUGAUAACCAUUUGUUAUUAUCUUAAUAAUACAGAUACUUCUUUUUGAAGUUAAAAUUUUGUUUCUCCCUAGUAGACAGAUUAGGCCUUGACUUUAACAAUGUAAACGUUUAGUUUUACAUCAUUCAUUUGGUGAAUUAAUUCAGCCAGAAAGUUGACACCCUGUACUUUCCUGUGGAAACCUCAUAAAACCCUUCACGAGACAAAAGCAUUAAGGAAAAGAAUUCCUCAUGACAUUUGGUGUCACUGAUGGGGUGAAUAUACUUCCUCAAAGCUGAGAAGUCACAGCGGUCGUUCUCAGGUCUUCAUAUUUUUUUUAUUCCCCCAAUUCAGGAAAAAAUGUGUCUUCUGGAUGGUGUUUGAGAAUAAAGCGGCAUGUCCCAGCUUU